rnacentral:rRNA from 1 species
UAGAUACCCUAUUAUUAAAAUUAAAUAAUUAAAAAUACUUAAGUAGUAUUAGUUAUAUUCUUAAAAUUUAAAGAAUUUGGCGGUGUUUUAGUCUAUUUAGAGGAAUCUGUUCUGUUAUUGAUAAUCCACGUUGGACCUUACUUAAAUUUGUAAUCAAUUUGUAUAUCGUCGUCAUCAGAAUAUAUUAUAAGAUUAAUAAUUUUCUAAAUAUUUUAUUAAAUAAAAUGUCAGGUCAAGGUGCAGUUUAUGUUUAAGUAGAAAUGGAUUACAAUAAAAGUAUUUAUACGGAUAAUUUUUUGAAAUAAAA